rnacentral:rRNA from 1 species
GUCCAUGCCGUAAAACGUUGGGCACUAGGUGUGGGGGACAUUCCACGUUUUCCGCGCCGUAGCUAACGCAUUAAGUGCCCCGCCUGGGGAGUACGGCCGCAAGGCUAAAACUCAAAGGAAUUGACGGGGCCCGCACAAGCGGCGGAGCAUGCGGAUUAAUUCGAUGCAACGCGAAGAACCUUACCAAGGCUUGACAUGGACCGGACCGGGCUGGAAACAGUCCUUCCCCUUUGGGGCCGUUCACAGGUGGUGCAUGGUUGUCGU